rnacentral:rRNA from 1 species
UACAGAGACCUCAAGCGUUAUCCGGAAUCAUUGGGCGUAAAGCGUACCGAUCGGUUGUGUAACAAGUCAGAUGUGAAAUCCCAAGGCUCAACUUUGGGACUGUCAUUUGAAACUGUUACGCUCGAGGGGCAAAGAGGAAGCUGGAACGAACGGUGUAGUAGUGAAAUGCGUUGAUAUCGUUCGGAACACCAAUAGCGAAGGCAGGCUUCUGGGUGCCACCUGACACUGCUAGGACGAAAGCGUGGGGAGCGAAUGGG